rnacentral:rRNA from 1 species
AAUAGAUACCCUGGUAGUCCACGCCGUAAACGAUGAGUGCUAAGUGUUAGAGGGUUUCCGCCCUUUAGUGCUGCAGCUAACGCAUUAAGCACUCCGCCUGGGGAGUACGGCCGCAAGGCUGAAACUCAAAGGAAUUGACGGGGGCCCGCACAAGCGGUGGAGCAUGUGGUUUAAUUCGAAGCAACGCGAAGAACCUUACCAGGUCUUGACAUCCUCUGCUAACCCUAGAGAUAGGGCGUUCCCCUUCGGGGGACAGAGUGACAGGUGGUGCAUGGUUGUCGUCAGCUCGUGUCGUGAGAUGUUGGGUUAAGUCCCGCAACGAGCGCAACCCUUGAUCUUAGUUGCCAGCAUUCAGUUGGGCACUCUAAGGUGACUGCCGGUGACAAACCGGAGGAAGGUGGGGAUGACGUCAAAUCAUCAUCGCCCCUUAUGACCGUGGGCUACACACGUGCUACAAUGGAUGGUACAAAGAGCUGCGAACCCGCGAGGUAAGCCAAUCUCAUAAAGCCAUUCUCAGUUCGGAUUGU